rnacentral:rRNA from 1 species
UCCUACGGGGAGCAGCAGUGGGGAAUAUUGGACAAUGGGCGCAAGCCUGAUCCAGCCAUACCGCGUGGGUGAAGAAGGCCUUCGGGUUGUAAAGCCCUUUUGUUGGGAAAGAAAUCCAGCUGGCUAAUACCCGGUUGGGAUGACGGUACCCAAAGAAUAAGCACCGGCUAACUUCGUGCCAGCAGCCGCGGUAAUACGAAGGGUGCAAGCGUUACUCGGAAUUACUGGGCGUAAAGCGUGCGUAGGUGGUCGUUUAAGUCCGUUGUGAAAGCCCUGGGCUCAACCUGGGAACUGCAGUGGAUACUGGGCGACUAGAAUGUGGUAGAGGGUAGCGGAAUUCCUGGUGUAGCAGUGAAAUGCGUAGAGAUCAGGAGGAACAUCCAUGGCGAAGGCAGCUACCUGGACCAACAUUGACACUGAGGCACGAAAGCGUGGGGAGCAAACAGGAUUAGAUACCCUGGUAGUCCACGCCCUAAACGAUGCGAACUGGAUGUUGGGUGCAAUUUGGCACGCAGUAUCGAAGCUAACGCGUUAAGUUCGCCGCCUGGGGAGUACGGUCGCAAGACUGAAACUCAAAGGAUUUGACGGGGA